UCACGGGGGGCAGCAGUGAGGAAUAUUGGUCAAUGGGCUUACGCCUGAACCAGCCAAGUCGCGUGAGGGAAGACUGCCCUAUGGGUUGUAAACCUCUUUUGUCAGGGAGCAACGCCGGCUACGUGUAGCCGGACUGAGAGUACCUGAAGAAAAAGCAUCGGCUAACUCCGUGCCAGCAGCCGCGGUAAUACGGAGGAUGCGAGCGUUAUCCGGAUUUAUUGGGUUUAAAGGGUGCGUAGGCGGAAUGCCAAGUCAGUGGUAAAAUUGCGGGGCUCAACCCCGUCCAGCCGUUGCAACUGGCGGUC
rnacentral:rRNA from 1 species